CCCCUCCGUUCAUCCAUCACUACUAACUACUGCUUUCGAGAUAAGAGGCGCAAUCUUGUGAUACAUCUAAAGAUGGCGUCGAUUCAUGCUAAUUUGACAUCCGUUAUGUGUAAAAAUGGCAACCAUUCUAACCUGUCGAAGAUUUCAAAGACUUCCUUCUUGCCUGUUUUUGAUGUGGCCGGUGAUUCUGCCAACUUAUGGAAGAAGGAAGCACAAUCUUGCAUCAUGGUGCCUCGUGCCACAUUGACCUUUGAUCCUCCAUCAACCAAUGUGGAGAAGACUAAAAGGAAGAACACAGUUGAUCCGGCUGCCCCUGAUUUUCUUCCGCUUCCGUCUUUUGAACAAUGUUUCCCACAAAGCACGAAGGAAUAUAGGGAAGUUGUUCAUGAAGAGUCUGGUAAUGUUCUUAAAGUUCCAUUUCGACGCGUUCACCUGGCAGGGGAUGAACCACAUUUUGAUACCUAUGACACCAGUGGUCCUCAAAACAUAAGCCCCCAAAUAGGACUCCCAAAAUUGCGCAAAGAUUGGAUUGAUAUGAGGGAGAAAUCUGGUCCUCCGAGAUACACCCAAAUGUACUAUGCUAAGCAAGGAAUCAUCACCGAAGAGAUGCUCUACUGUGCUACCCGCGAAAAGCUUGAGCCAGAGUUUGUGAGAUCAGAAGUUGCUCGUGGUCGUGCAAUCAUUCCUUCCAACAAGAAGCACCUUGAGUUGGAGCCAAUGAUUGUUGGAAGGAAUUUCUUGGUGAAAGUGAACGCUAACAUCGGAAAUUCUGCUGUUGUAAGCUCAAUUGAAGAAGAAGUUCACAAGCUUCAAUGGGCUACAAUGUGGGGUGCUGACACCAUCAUGGAUCUUUCUACCGGCCGUCACAUCCAUGAAACCCGUGAAUGGAUUCUCCGUAAUUCUUCCGUGCCAGUUGGGACAGUGCCGAUCUAUCAAGCACUAGAAAAAGUCAAUGGAAUCGCCGAGAAUCUGAAUUGGGAAGUGUUCCGUGAGACGUUGAUUGAACAGGCUGAGCAGGGUGUGGAUUACUUUACGAUCCAUGCCGGUGUUCUGCUCCGCUAUAUCCCAUUAACGGCAAAGCGAAUGACAGGAAUCGUUUCCCGAGGCGGGUCGAUACAUGCGAAAUGGUGCUUGGCUUACCACAAGGAGAAUUUUGCUUAUGAGCACUGGGAUGACAUCCUUGAUAUCUGCAACCAAUAUGAUAUUGCCUUAUCCAUUGGUGAUGGAUUAAGGCCGGGCUCGAUUUAUGAUGCCAAUGAUACUGCUCAAUUUGCCGAGCUCUUGACUCAAGGUGAACUAACGCGUAAAGCCUGGGCGAAGGAUGUGCAGGUCAUGAACGAAGGGCCGGGACAUAUCCCGAUGCAUAAAAUUCCUGAAAAUAUGCAAAAGCAGCUGGAAUGGUGCAAUGAAGCACCGUUCUACACACUUGGACCUUUGACUACCGACAUCGCUCCAGGAUAUGAUCACAUUACUUCUGCCAUUGGUGCCGCCAACAUUGGAGCCCUUGGAACCGCACUUCUCUGUUAUGUGACACCAAAAGAGCACCUUGGUUUACCCAAUCGUGAUGAUGUUAAAACCGGUGUUAUAUCGUAUAAGAUAGCCGCUCAUGCUGCUGAUUUGGCUAAAGGUCAUCCACAUGCUCAAGCCUGGGAUGAUGCGCUUAGCAAAGCUCGGUUUGAGUUCAGGUGGUUGGACCAAUUUGCUUUAUCGUUGGAUCCAAUGACUGCCACAUCGUUCCAUGAUGAAACCCUUCCAUCGGAUGGUGCAAAAGUUGCUCAUUUCUGCUCCAUGUGUGGGCCCAAGUUCUGUUCGAUGAAGAUUACUGAGGAUGUGCGCAAGUAUGCUGAGGAGCAUGGUUAUGGAAGUGCUGAAGAAGCUGUUCAGCAGGGGAUGGAUGCCAUGAGUGCUGAGUUUCAGGCUGCCAAGAAAACUGUGAGCGGAGAACAACAUGGCGAGGCUGGCGGAGAAAUCUACUUGCCGGAAUCGUACAUCAAUUCUUUGAAGAAAUGAAGGGAGGAUGACUUUGGAUCGUCUGCAAGAUCGGCCUAGCAUGAAAUGAGGUUCAAGAUUCUCGUGUUCAAGCUGUAGCCAGCGCCACCCCUUUCUGGGCGGAGGUGUUGGCGGCAGUUUCAGGCUGAGAAAGUCCCUUAGAACCUGAACAGGAUAAUGCCUGCGUAGGGAGAGUGCUUUUUUUGUUUUUCUUUUGCGUAGUUACACAAGGAGGGAGACAUCGUUUUCGGGAUCAUGCUCUCUUCUCUCGUGUGGCUGCCCGAUCCAAGUUACAGUUCCAUUUACUUAAUGAGGUUGGUCAUGCUUAUGACGAUCGAGGAGUCUGAAAUGAUCUCCAUCUUUCUUUCGAAACUGCAAAGAAACACACAGAAUCCAGACACACAAACAAGUCUUAAGGGCUGUUUACUAAACGCUUACCCGGGUAAGCAUUUAUCAUGUCACACAACCUCACUCG